rnacentral:rRNA from 1 species
UACGGAGGGGGCUAGCGUUGCUCGGAAUCACUGGGCGUAAAGGGCGCGUAGGCGGCCAUUCAAGUCAGGGGUGAAAGCCUGUGGCUCAACCACAGAAUUGCCUUUGAUACUGUUUGGCUAGAGACCGGAAGAGGUAAGUGGAACUGCGAGUGUAGAGGUGAAAUUCGUAGAUAUUCGCAAGAACACCAGUGGCGAAGGCGGCUCACUGGACUGGUAUUGACGCUGAGGUGCGAAAGCGUGGGGAGCAAACAGG